rnacentral:rRNA from 1 species
UACGUAGGGUGCAAGCGUUGUCCGGAAUCAUUGGGCGUAAAGAGCGUGUAGGCGGCCAGAUAAGUCCUCUGUGAAAUCUCGAGGCUCAACUUCGAGCUGUCGGUGGAAACUGUCUGGCUAGAGUCCGGAAGAGGAGAAUGGAAUUCCUGGUGUAGCGGUGAAAUGCGUAGAUAUCUGGAGGAACACCGGUGGCGAAGGCGGCAUCCUGGACCAAUAUUGACGCUGAGGAGCGAAAGCCAGGGGAGCAAACGGG